rnacentral:rRNA from 1 species
GACGAACGCUGGCGGCGUGCCUAAUACAUGCAAGUAGGACGCAGUUGCGAACGGGUGAGUAACGCGUAGGUAACUUCCUAUUAGAGGGGGAUAACUAUUGGAAACGAUCGCUAAUACCGCAUACUAGUAGAUGGACCUGCGUUGUAUUAGCUAGUAGGUAGGGUAAUGGCCUACCUAGGCGAUGAUACAUAGCCGACAUGUGAGGGUGAUCGGCCAGACUGGGACUGAGACACGGCCCAUACUCCUACGGGAGGCAGCAGUAGGGAAUCUUCGGCAAUGGGGGGAAACCUGACCGAGCAACGCCGCGUGAGUGAAGAAGGUUUUCGGGUCGUAAAGCUCUGUUGUUAAGGAAGCGGUACUUAACCAGAAAGGGACGGCUAACUACGUGCCAGCAGCCGCGGUAAUUC